UGAGCAAUCUGCCCUUCACAUCGGAAUAACCAUUGGAAACGAUGGCUAAUACCGAAUAUGACUUCGGAUCGCAUGAUCUGAAGUGGAAAGCUCCGGCGGUGAAGGAUGAGCUCGCGGCCUAUCAGCUUGUUGGUAAGGUAAUGGCUUACCAAGGCGACGACGGGUAGCCGGCCUGAGAGGGUGACCGGCCACACUGGGACUGAGACACGGCCCAGACCUCUACGGGA
rnacentral:rRNA from 1 species